rnacentral:rRNA from 1 species
AUACCGGGCCUUUUUGGGCUUGGUAAUUGGAAUGAGGGAGAGUUAAACGGACCAUCGAGUAUCCAUUGGAGGGCAAGUCUGGUGCCAGCAGCUGCGGUAAUACCAGCUCCAAUAGCGUAUAUUAAAGUUGUUGCAGUUAAAAAGCUCGUAGUUGGACUUGUGUGCGCUGUCCGCGGGUGGCCUGCGCCCAAAAGGGCGUUUCGGUUCGGCCCCGGUGGCGCCUUGAAAUCUGCAGCUGGGGGGACGUUGGCCUUAACUGGUCGGCGACCGCACGCCGGCUGCUCGGUUACUGUGAGAAAAUUAGAGUGUUCAAGGCAGGCAUUGGGUGCAAUUGAAUACAUUAGCAUGGAAUAAUAAAAUAUGGCUCCUGCCGUAUUUUGUUGGUUUUGACUGGUGGGAGUAAUGAUUGAUAGGGACGGUUGGGGGUGCUAGUAUUGAGCGGCCAGAGGUGAAAUUCAUGGAUUCGCUCAAGACUAACUUAUGCGAAAGCAUUCACCAAGGACGUCCUCUUUAAUCAAGAACGAAAGUUGGGGGAUCGAAGACGAUCAGAUACCGUCGUAGUCUCAACCAUAAACUAUGUCGACUUGGGAUCGGCGGUAGUUUUUUCAUUAAGACACUGUCGGGACCACGGGAGAAAUCAAAGUGUCUGGACUCUGGGGGAAGUAUGGUCGCAAGGCUGAAACUUGAAGGAAUUGACGGAAGGGCACCACCAGGAGUGGAGCCUGCGGCUUAAUUUGACAACACGGGGAAACUUACCAGGUCCAGAGAUGUAGAGGAUUGACAGAUUGAAGCUCUUUCUUGAUCACUUCGGUGGUGGUGCAUGGCCGUUCUUAGUUGGUGGAGUGAUUUGUCUGGUUAAUUCCGUUAACGAACGAGACCUCAGCCUGCUAGUGUAGUCGGCUGGAUUGCCUCUGGCGAUCCGUGAUUUCGACUUCUUAGAGGGACAAUCGACGCGCAGUCGAUGGGAGUUUGAGGCAAUAACAGGUCUGUGAUGCCCUUAGAUGUUCUGGGCCGCACGCGCGCUACACUGCUGGGCUCAGCGAGUUUUACUUGGCCGAGAGGCCCGGUUAAUCUUGUGAAAUCCCAGCGUGCUUGGGCUCGCCUCCUGCAACUGGAGGCGCCAACGAGGAAUUCCUAGUAGACGCAGGUCAUCAACCUGCAUCGAUUACGUCCCUGCCCUUUGUACACACCGCCCGUCGUUCCAUAAGAGUGAGGCAUCCGGUGAAUUCUCGGGAGAGCCUGGGCGUGGCCAGCAAUGGUCUGCUCGGGUUUGAACUUGCAUAAACUUGGUGCCUAUGAUUAGGGAAAAGUCGUAACAAGGUUUCCGUAGGAACCU